AUUGAAGAUGGGAUGCAGGUUUUCGUGGUAGUACCUUUUAAAAAAACAUUAAAACCCACUACUAUGUAUUAGUCAAAAUACAAAAUACUGAAAAUAUCUUCCUUGAUAUUAAUUCUUUCAAGAAAUGAAGCAUGAAUAUGGAGCAUGAAAUAUUGGCACGUUAACUUUUUGCUCUGUGAAGCUCUCUGUCUACUCUGACAUUCCCAAGAAUGGUCAACUAUGCGUUCAUGUAAGAGAAGUAACACAAAGCAAGGAAUGUCAGAGAACUUUGGGAAUAUUGACUCAUGGAAAUGGAGCCUAUGUAAGACACAAAUGAUAUUUUUGAACCUCUGCCAGCAAGUAUGUCAACUACCUGUCCAAG
rnacentral:lncRNA from 1 species